UGCGAGUGAAGAGGGAAAAGCUCAAAUUUAAAAUCUGGCGGCAUUCUGUCGUCCGAGUUGUAAUCUAGAGAAGUGUUACCCGCGCCGGACCGUGUAUAAGUCUCCUGGAAUGGAGCGUCAUAGAGGGUGAGAAUCCCGUCUUCGACACGGAUCCCCGGGGCUUUGUGGUGCGCUCUCAACGAGUCGAGUUGUUUGGGAAUGCAGCUCAAAAUGGGUGGUAAAUUCCAUCUAAAGCUAAAUAUUGGCGAGAGACCGAUAGCGAACAAGUACCGUGAGGGAAA
rnacentral:rRNA from 1 species